UCUCGGCUAGAGUUUGAAGCAAGCUAUUGAACUGUUCACCAUUCCUCUGGCUUACAGAACCACCCACUGUAACUGUUUUGAAGCCAUAGUAGCUUGCACCAUUCUCCCAGAGGUGGACUUGGGGAUGUAUUUGGGGGAGGAGUGAAACAGUCUGUCAGAACUAGUCAUACAGCGAAAAUUUGAGGGAGCCAUCUGGAGGUGACAUUGAGGUGGUGGCGGUGGCAGCAACAACACACAUCACCUGACCUGUCGGUGAUGCAUCCGGCGCCAUCACCACAUACGGUUCCAUUGUGGCUACCCUCACCACAUGUGGGGGUAUCGACGACCCCUUAGCAGCAUCCGGGCUCAUUGUGGACACCCUCCGUGUGUGUUGCGCCAUCACAGAUGCAUUGGUUAUGCAAUUUUGAUGCAAAAUUGAACCUGAAAACCUGAUAAAAUGUGGAUACCAGUGGAUAAAGCUCAAUGUGUGUGGCCUGGUAGAUACAGACGAUAUCAGAUACCCAAGUGCAAUGAUCCUUUUGGACUUGGAAUACAUCUUUUAUGGAAACAGGUAGUGUUCUCCAUAAAAAGGGGCUGGUCACUCAUCGGUUUCAGAUGCCAAUGUGGACAGGGUACGGCAGGUGUUCGCAAGGAGUUCUAUAAAAUCAGCAUUUUUGGCAGCCAGAGAGUUGCAAAUGAGAAGAUCGACGUUGGACAAUGUCGUGCAUAAGAGGAGUUCCUAUUACAUAUACGGCACUUUACACUGCUUGUGAGAAAAUAUUAUUAAUCAGCAUUGAUGGUCAACUUGAUCCCUAGCAUCCACUAGAGGACAUCCCCGCUUUCUUGGGAGGCAGUAGACAGGUGGAGGUUAAAAUGUUUACAUUAGGGUUUCACAAAACUUUGAAAGAAAAAAAUUGGGUUAGUCAUGCAAUUUUGAUGCGAAAUGGAACCUGAAAACCUGCUAAAAUGUGGAUACCAGUGGAUAAAGCUCAAUGUGUGUGGCCUGGUAGAUACAGGCGAUAUCAGAUACCCAAGCGCAAUGAUCCUUUCAGACUUGGAAUACAUCAUUUAUGGAAACAGUACUCACGAGACAUUUACAGUGGGGUGUGCAGUUGAGAACAGUUCUCCAUCUACCCCUCAGUGCUCACCAUAAUUAUCCAAAGUGGGGCACUAUGCCACUUCCAAGAAGCAGGCCAAAGAUGUCCUGGUAAGCAGCACAUUGUCAAUGCUGCGAGACAAACAACAGCAAUGAAUGGGAGCAAUGAGGAUGGCAAGUUGGGCCAGUAUGUUGCAGCUGAGCUGAUUACAACUAAAAAGAGAAAAUUGGAGGCAGAGACAAAGUGCCUUAUCAUGAAUGCCAUCAUGGGUGCAAUUC